AUGAACGCUAGCUACAGGCUUAACACAUGCAAGUCGAGGGGCAGCAUGGUCUUAGCUUGCUAAGGCCGAUGGCGACCGGCGCACGGGUGAGUAACACGUAUCCAACCUGCCGUCUACUCUUGGACAGCCUUCUGAAAGGAAGAUUAAUACAAGAUGGCAUCAUGAGUCCACAUGUUCACAUGAUUAAAGGUAUUCCGGUAGACGAUGGGGAUGCGUUCCAUUAGAUAGUAGGCGGGGUAACGGCCCACCUAGUCUUCGAUGGAUAGGGGUUCUGAGAGGAAGGUCCCCCACAUUGGAACUGAGACACGGUCCAAACUCCUACGGGAGGCAGCAGUGAGGAAUAUUGGUCAAUGGGCGAGAGCCUGAACCAGCCAAGUAGCGUGAAGGAUGACUGCCCUAUGGGUUGUAAACUUCUUUUAUAAAGGAAUAAAGUCGGGUAUGCAUACCCGUUUGCAUGUACUUUAUGAAUAAGGAUCGGCUAACUCCGUGCCAGCAGCCGCGGUAAUACGGAGGAUCCGAGCGUUAUCCGGAUUUAUUGGGUUUAAAGGGAGCGUAGAUGGAUGUUUAAGUCAGUUGUGAAAGUUUGCGGCUCAACCGUAAAAUUGCAGUUGAUACUGGAUAUCUUGAGUGCAGUUGAGGCAGGCGGAAUUCGUGGUGUAGCGGUGAAAUGCUUAGAUAUCACGAGGAACUCCGAUUGCGAAGGCAGCCUGCUAAGCUGCAACUGACAUUGAGGCUCGAAAGUGUGGGUAUCAAACAGGAUUAGAUACCCUGGUAGUCCACACGGUAAACGAUGAAUACUCGCUGUUUGCGAUAUACAGCAAGCGGCCAAGCGAAAGCGUUAAGUAUUCCACCUGGGGAGUACGCCGGCAACGGUGAAACUCAAAGGAAUUGACGGGGGCCCGCACAAGCGGAGGAACAUGUGGUUUAAUUCGAUGAUACGCGAGGAACCUUACCCGGGCUUAAAUUGCAGAUGAAUUACGGUGAAAGCCGUAAGCCGCAAGGCAUCUGUGAAGGUGCUGCAUGGUUGUCGUCAGCUCGUGCCGUGAGGUGUCGGCUUAAGUGCCAUAACGAGCGCAACCCUUGUUGUCAGUUACUAACAGGUUCCGCUGAGGACUCUGACAAGACUGCCAUCGUAAGAUGUGAGGAAGGUGGGGAUGACGUCAAAUCAGCACGGCCCUUACGUCCGGGGCUACACACGUGUUACAAUGGGGGGUACAGAGGGCCGCUACCACGCGAGUGGAUGCCAAUCCCCAAAACCUCUCUCAGUUCGGACUGGAGUCUGCAACCCGACUCCACGAAGCUGGAUUCGCUAGUAAUCGCGCAUCAGCCACGGCGCGGUGAAUACGUUCCCGGGCCUUGUACACACCGCCCGUCAAGCCAUGGGAGCCGGGGGUACCUGAAGUGCGUAACCGCGAGGAGCGCCCUAGGGUAAAACUGGUGACUGGGGCU
rnacentral:rRNA from 1 species